CCUACGGGAUGCUGCAGUGAGGAAUAUUGGUCAAUGGACGCAAGUCUGAACCAGCCAUGCCGCGUGAAGGAUGAAGGCGUUUGCGUUGUAAACUUCUUUUAUCUGGGAAGCGGUACCAGAGGAAUAAGCACCGGCUAACUCCGUGCCAGCAGCCGCGGUAAUACGGAGGGUGCAAGCGUUAUCCGGAUUUACUGGGUUUAAAGGGUGUGUAGGCGGACUUUUAAGUCAGAGGUGAAAUCUCCGGGCUCAACCCGGAAACUGCCCCUGAUACUAUUAGUCUUGAAUAUUGAUGAGGUGGGCGGAACGGGUCAUGUAGCGGUGAAAUGCUUAGAGAUGACCCGGAACACCAAUUGCGAAGGCAGCUCACUGGGCAAUAUUGACGCUGAGGCACGAAAGCGUGGGGAUCAAACAGGAUUAGAUACCCCAGUAGUC
rnacentral:rRNA from 1 species